AAAAGGAGGCGCUGCUCAAGUGAGGAGUGUGCUGUAUUUAAACUAUCUGGACUUUGCUCUCACUUGGUCUGUUUUCUCUUUCUGUACCAUCGGAAUCAAGUCUACAAACGCGAUCUUCAACGCGAUAGUGCUGUAUUAUGGAUAGCAAAAUUGAAAGUGCUCAGAGGGAGGCAGAGGAGGUGAAAGUCAUUAUGCUGGAAAAUGCAAAUAAAGCAGAAGAACGUGAAGGAAAACUCAAGGAUCAGAGAGCUGAACAACUUCAGUCCACUAGUAAAACUGCAAAGCUAAAAAAUGCAACAAAGCUGAAAGUGAACCAGAAAAUGGAGUUCAUGCGGGCUAAUAAAGGACUUUUAAGCAUCUUAAUGGUCUCAGCUGCUAUUAUAAUUGCUGUGGUGAUUGCCAUGCUCGUCACCAAAGACAUAUAUGAGCACAGGCACUCAGAAGUAGAAAGUGUCUUAGAAGAGCCAUAGCAUCAACUUCAGCAGACUGGAACAAGAAGAGGACAAAUCCCCACUACCACACCAGAACUGUCAGUUUGUUCAGGGGAGUAUGACUGACUUUACCAACACUUGGAACCUCUUUUGACUCAACAAAACCAAUUUUACUGUGGAGAAGUCUUUUCAUUUGUAGACUGUUUAGGACCCACUUUACUGUUUAUUAGGUGUCUUUAACUAUGUAAUUAAGCACUUGAUACAAGGUACUUAUUAUGUACAUGCAUGUUGUUGCAGUAUACUUACAUUUAAAGUACCUGCAUUAAAUUACAUCUGUAGUUACACUGUUAACCUUAUACCCUAACCCUACCUCUAAACCUACCCGUACAACCUACAACCUUAUACAAUAAGUACAUUGUAUUGUAUGUAUUUUAAUAUUAGUACAUUGUAGUUAAAAACACCUAAUAUAAAGUUGGACCAUAGUUUUUAUGGGUUAGAUGUUUCUGGGGUGGGGGCGACAUGUUUAGCUGACAUUAAUUGGUUAUGUUUUAUGAUAUAUCUAAGCUAAGAUGAGAGAAAAUUCAUUAUUAUAAAGAAUUUUCAGGAACCUUUUUAUAAAACUUACAUUUCAAAUGGGAUAAAUCAUAUUUAAGGGAGAACAAUCAUGAUAGUCAUGCUUUAAGAUUGCUUCAAAUUGAAUUUCCAUUAAAAAUGAUUUAAAAAGUGAGUUCUGAAUUACCCAUUUAGCUUUUCAAAGCUCUCACAGUGGAUGGUAAAGUCUUCGAUGGGAAUAGGGCAUAGGGAUUAUCACUUCUGAAUGGAACGCACACUUAGAUUGUUUAGUGUCAAUUGAUAUGUUUAAAGGUGCACUAAAUAAUUUUUUGAGGAAUGUUGAAGUGGCUAACAUUGUCUUACACUGACACCUAGUGGCCUGGAUGCUGCAUCAUUCAAACACAGUAGUUUUCAAUUUCAGAUGCCAUUGAAGAAAUUCACUAAACCCAAUAAGCCAGGAUUAAUUUGAUCCAUGAAUGAAAGUGUCCGAUUACAGGGCAGUUACUGAGAUUAAGAGAGUGGUAUUCAGCUGGUCAUGUGAUGCUAACAUGGCUGCCCCCAUGAGGCGCCCCUGCCACAUGUAGAAUAAAAGAGCUCUUAUAAGGCUACUGAUAUGACUGAACUCUUCAUCUCACAUGAGUGGUCAUGAUUUUACACAUAUGUUUCAAAAUUACUAUUCAUUUUUUUACAAGUAAAACUUUUUAAAUGAGGAAAAAAAAUUACUGAGUGCACCUUUAAGCAUACUUCAAAAUUCACAAUCAUGCACAUUCAUGGUUAACUCAAGGAGUUUUAAGAUUGUUUGCAUUAUAUUUGCAUACAAGAUUGUGGGGAAGGUUGUUCACCAAAAUUCAUUUGGUGUGCUGUAACUUUGUCAUAUAAACACAACUUUACAGAAAAGGCUACCACGAAAGACUUGAUCCCCAUGGAAAUAGUGCUGAUAGUUUGGUAUGUAAACAAAAGAAGAUUAAAAGCAAGGUCCAGUGCACAACAUCCCUUUUUUGUGCACUGUGCUAACAUCGGGUUAACAUAUGAGAUUAAUAUAAUAGUUUAUAUAAUUGUAUAAUAUAAUUGUUUAUAAUAUUUUAAUAAUUUCAUUAUUAUUUAAAAAAUAAGAAUUUAUAAUAAUAAUAAAAUCAUUAUAUACUAAAACCAUAAUUCUAUAUUUUUGACUUGGAAACCACCCAAAGUUGUUAUUACCUUUCAUGAAGUCAUGCCACAAGGUUGAUUCUCAUGUUUGGUUAAAAUGUGGUAUAUAAAUUGGGAAGGAAGUGAAAAUCAUCAGUUGUAUUGCAACCUGGUGGUUUAUACCUUGAAAUUCGCUUAAGCAUCAAUCCAUAAUCACUAUUUUCUCAGUCAAUUGCAAUAAAGCAAUCAGUACAUUUCCAAUAGGAAUGUACUGGUCACACCCAACUAUAUAAUAGUGCAUUAAAUCUAUUGCAAAGAUGAGAGUAAUCAAUCUCUUUGUCAUGGAACCGGCACAUAAUCUUUCAGGAGGACUUUUGUUGUAGGCAACUACUGUGUAAUGAUUUGAUUGCUCCUCUAUAUGACCAAAUAAAUUAUUAUUGUUUGAUGGA